AUAAAGAAUUGUUGUCGCCUAGGAUCAGCUUUGCAUCAACUAUUACCAUGGGCUCUUCAUCUAGUGAUCAGAAGAAAGAAUGAACAAUAAAUAAACUGCAUUACGUAUAUAUCAAGCACCCAAAGCGAUGAAACAUCAACUUUUACGAUGUCAAAACAUCAGCCUCCAUCACUAAUCAUAAGGCUCGUAUGUCGAUGCAUCUGGCAACAGAGAACGAAUAUGUUUCCAUUAUUGAAUUACUGGUCAAAACCAACGUAUUUGAGAGGAUGAAACAGGAGUCGACAUUGAUACACACAGUAUCACGUUGGGGAGCUGAGAUUGGUGCAGGUUUUUCUGAACCUCGGGGUCUCCGAACUAGGACCAAAAACCUCGAUGAAGCUGAUGAUUCACAUAAGGCCUACUAGUUGGGCGGUGUCUCUUCAGCAAAGUUGAGGAUCUGUACCAGUCAAAUGGUCCACUCACCUCACCUCCCUGUGCUCCUUGGGGCUCUGUGAAGGCUACGGCCUUCUGAAACAGAGUGCGAAAGACAAAUCGAAGCAAGGGACUCGGAUCGGUGCCCAGAAGGAGAAGCUGAAUCUAGAUUUGGCUAAACACUGAAGGACUGCGGUGCUCGGAGCAGCGCGGACAGACGAGAGCCCAUGGAAGACAGAUGGUUGUGUGACAAAGGGCUGGAAUCCAAAGCACCUUGUUAACGGACACACAAGCACCGUCAGGGUCAUCGAGGAGUAUCCGUUAUCUCCAGAUGACCCCGGGAAGGAAUGGGACCGGGGUGUGGCUCCUGGUGCUGUUGCAGACAAACAAAUUGAGAGGAUUGUAUCUCCACUUCGGGAUGGGCCUGAUAAAGGCAAGACGUUGAAGGGGAAAUCGUUGAGAAAUCCACUGGAGAAUCCUGAUUCCCCUCCCAUAGGUCACGUAUAGGCCGUGGAGAUUCUAAUCGGUAAAAAUCUGACAUUCUUCCAUAUAAAAAAAAGAAAAAGAAAAACAAUAUCACGUUAAAUGGCCAAAUGGCCACUCAAAAUGCAAUGAUGAUGCUUCAAGAAAGGCGUUCACUUCACAGCUAUGUAUAGCGUUAUAUAAUUGUCAUUCGUAGUUGCAUCCACCUGCGCAUUUAAUUUCUCAUUAACUCAUUUUAUUUCUUAGCUAGCUCAUUUAGUUACUUACAAUUAGCCAAAGUGGUAUUCGUAAAGUGGUAUUUCAUGUAUAUCAUCAUUAUGGUGGCCUUUGUGUAUAGCUUUUUGAACAGUACGAUCUAAAGUGGUUCAGUUUUUCUGUCGUCGAAGUAAAAAAAAACAUUUUCCUUUUGUGUAAAAGUACAAAACCUAAAAAAGUGUUACGAAAUUAUGUGCGUGAAGAAUGACGUAUGACGAAGAUCACGAUACGAAUGUUAAGACUGAUUUAAAUCUGUGUGUUGUGCCAUACUAUAUUAUAUACA